CGUCGUACGUACCGUACCGUACCAAGAUCUGACUGAGGGUUGAGACCGCCGCAACUAACUCCAGAAAUUUCCUUGAAAUAUGGCAAACAGCCCGUGGGCACAAUUUGUCUGCAUAAGCGAAGAAGAUGGUCUUAUUAUCCCUAUUUCAAACGAUGUAUUUUCCGUUGGGAGAGCUAAAGCCUGUGACCUGUCAAUGCCGGAUAAUAAAUUCAUAUCAGGAAGACAUUGCAAUCUGUCCAGGAAAAACAAUACUAUCUGGCUGGAGGAUACAAGUACUAAUGGUACGUGGUUAAAUGGAGUCAAGAUUGGCAAAGGACAGAAACAAAGAUUGUUUCACAGGGAUGAAAUAGCAGUUGUACUCCAAGAGGGCAAAGAAGGGGCUAGAGAUAUAGUUUACCGAUAUGAAGACGUUGCAAUGCUGGAGGCUGAGCAAGAACGGCUGGAUCAGACACAAGAAAUGGAUGACCCAGAUGAAAAUACAGAAGAUUAUGUGUUCGAAGACAAAGAAGAUGAAGAAGGGGCUUCCAGGAAGAGGAAAAAAGAUGAGGAUUCUGAUGAUGGAAGUAAACCUGCUAAAAGGCUUGAAGCAGGAGAGGAAGAUGUAAACAAGGAUGAUAAAAUUCCAUCUGAAGAUCCUGCAGAAAAGCUAGCAGGAGAAGCAGCUUCAUCCGUUUCAGUUGAAUCUUCCAACGCAAUAGAAGAUACUGAUAAGGCUGCUGCCUCUGAAAAGGGAGAUGGGGAUACUGAGAAGAAGAAAAAAGAAGGGGUAAAAUCUCCAAAGGAGGAGGAAGAAGAAUCAGAUGACAUCCUUGAGACCCUUAUAUGCAGCAUCUGCCAAGAUAUACUGCAUAAGUGUAUCAGCCUUCAACCUUGUAUGCAUAGCUUUUGUGCUGCAUGUAUAUCGGGUUGGAUGAAACACUCGAAGAGAUGUCCUCAAUGUCGAAAACAUGUUAAGCGCAUAGGCCAUAAUUACAUUGUUAACAGCCUAGUGGAUGCCUAUCUCAAACAAAAUCCAGACAAAAAGAGGACAAAAGAAGACUUGGAAGAAAUGGAUGCCCGUUGCAGUAUUCCAUUUAAUAAGACAUUUGACUAUGACCCUAUGUACGAUGAGGAUGAAGAAGGUGAUUAUGAUCCUGAUGAUGAGGAGGAUUAUGAGGAGGAAGAAGAGGAGGAGGAAUAUGUUCCACCACCACCACCUGCCUGUAGACAGUGUCCCCACUAUGUACAGCCAUUGGACAGAGAUGCUGUCAUGUCCCUUCAAACCUCUCUGGAUCCAUCAACAAGCACUGCUGCGGUGCCAGGGAAUGCUCCUUCCACGUCUUCAAGAGAUGCUGCUGUUCCCUCCACCUCUUCUGCCACCUCUUCAUCUCCGUCCAAGAGAGUCCGAAUAGCUGUUGGAGGCAUACCUGUCCCCAUGCCAACCCCUCCACCAUUCCAGUGCAAUCUUGAUGCCUUACAACACGUAGCCUGCACAUGCUGCCUACAGCCUAUGCCAAACAGAACCAGAGCGCCAGAUAUUCCUCCACAGAUAUGUCGUAUCUGCCGAAGGAGCUUUUGCCAUAUGUACUGGGGUUGUAAGCAGUACAACUGCCUAGGGUGUCUCAACAGGUUCCGAGAUAUGAAAUUUAGUGAGAGUGUUCUGGAUACUAUCAUUAACAACAAUAGAUAUGAAUCAACAAUAUUCAAAGAUUUCAUGUUAUCAAAGGGCCAUCAUAAUAUCCAUCUUGUACUACAAGAAGUAUUGAGUGGACUUGCAGCUAAUAAUUACAGAACAGACGAGACCCAGUUAAAUGGUAUUUCAGGGCAUAGUCCUCUUUGUUAUACCUGUGCCUUGAGGAUAUUCCAGGGUACUGCAUAUCUCUACAGAGCAAGCAUUCCAAAGAAUGAUCUACCAAUUCUUGUCACAGCCAGGCCGGACUGCCAUUGGGGAAGGGCCUGUAGAACACAGUACAAUAAACCACAUCAUGCUGCGAAUUUCAACCACAUUUGUGAUCAAGUUCGAUUCUGAUGAUGUCCCACGUAUAGUCUGUAAUUUCGGGAUCAAGGAGCGUUUUUCCAUUUUGCGACCAUUGACCUUUGGAUGGGAGUGAUGACAGUGCAAGUGAUCUGGAAUAAAUCUUCUGUCCUUAGCAGCAGGUUCUGGUGGUGGUGGCACAUCAUGCACCCCUAUCCUCUUGGAAGACCGCAGUUUUACAAUGAGUGGCAUUUCUUGGGAUAUCACUCUCAACCGACAAGAUAUAAAAAUAGAAGUGCAAUAUGUACAUGAUGUAAUGCUGAGUUUACUUGGACAGCAGCAAAAAAAAAGAAGAAUAAAUAAAUAAAAAAUACUGUUCUAUGACAAAUGCCUCCUGGUCGUAACUUUCUUAUUGCUGUAAAGUUUCAUUUUCAAUGUCAGUCUGGUCCUCGUUGCAUGAAACUUUACCAUUUGGCAUUAUGGUAUCUGUACUUUUGUGGUAUUAAAGUUCUUCAGAGACCCUGAUGCUGAAUGGCUCUGAUACCUAUUUUUUUUUUUACGGUAGUUACCAUUGAAAUCAGAGUUACCUUGAAAGAAGAAUUAUGCAACAGGGUCCUAACGCUGUCGAAAUAAUUUCAUAGACCUAGUAUUCCCGUAUUCAAUAAACCAGUUGCUGCGGCGUGCUUAAAGCUGGAAACAAGACUACGCGCUUACGUUGACGGUUGACCGAACAUGCGAUCUAGUACUGAAGUAUACACGCUCACCUGAUUGGCUAAUCAGUUCGAAAGUAGAUUAGUUUGUAUGUAGUCUUGUCCGCAGGCUUCAGUGACGCACAGCAACUUCAAGUCAGGAAAUCUAAGCAUUUUGUCAAUAUCUCCUGUAUCAGAUAAAAUGCUUUGCCGAAGUGGGUAUUUCAAUUCCAUAAGAUUUGGCCAAGAAUUCAUCUUAGAAUUUUGAUGAGUAUUUCGCUUGGAUUUUUU
rnacentral:misc_RNA from 1 species